rnacentral:snoRNA from 1 species
CCGCAUCUGGGAGUAAGCAGUCCCUUGCACCUGAUAUAUCUUCCUUCACUUUUUCUGCUAAAACCUUCUGUUUUUAGCUGAUCAUUAAUCGAUGGAAUAUUU